AGAGUUUGAUCCUGGCUCAGGAUUAACGCUGGCGGUAUGCCUAACACAUGCAAGUCGAACGGAAUACUCGAAAAGAGAAUCUCACACUAGUGAGAGGUUCUCCAACCGAGUAUUUAGUGGCGGACGGGUGAGUAACACGUUGGAACCUGCCCCGAAGUGGGGAAUAACUGCUCGAAAGAGUAGCUAAUACCCCAUAGUAUCCGGUUUAUCCGGAUUAAAGAUUUAUCGGCUUCGGGAGGGGCCUGCGUCUGAUUAGCUUGUUGGUGGGGUAAAAGCUCACCAAGGCGACGAUCAGUAGCUGGUUCGAGAGGAUGACCAGCCACACUGGGACUGAGAUACGGCCCAGACUCCUACGGGAGGCAGCAGUGAGGAAUCUUCCACAAUGGACGAAAGUCUGAUGGAGCAAUACCGCGUGCAGGACGACGCUUUUCGGAGUGUAAACUGCUUUUGUCGUCGAAGAUUAUGACUGUAGACGAAGAAUAAGGACCGGCUAACUACGUG
rnacentral:rRNA from 1 species